rnacentral:rRNA from 1 species
UACGGGGGGGGCAAGCGUUGUUCGGAAUUACUGGGCGUAAAGGGCUCGUAGGUGGCCAACUAAGUCAGACGUGAAAUCCCCAGGCUCAACCUGGGAACUGCGUCUGAUACUGGAUGGCUUGAAUUCGGGAGAGGGAUGCAGAAUUCCAGGUGUAGCGGUGAAAUGCGUAGAUAUCAAGAGGAACACCUGCGGCGAAGGCGGGUUGCUGGGCCGACACUGACGCUGAGGCGCGAAAGCCAGGGGAGCGAACGGG